UACAGGGGGGGCAAGCGUUGUUCGGAAUUACUGGGCGUAAAGGGCCGGUAGGCGGCCAACUAAGUCACACGUGAAAUCCCCAGGCUUAACCUGGGAACUGCGUGUGAUACUGGAUGGCUUGAAUUCGGGAGAGGGAUGCAGAAUUCCAGGUGUAGCGGUGAAAUGCGUAGAUAUCUGGAGGAAUACCGGUGGCGAAGGCGGCAUCCUGGACCGACAUUGACGCUGAACGGCGAAAGCUAGGGGAGCAAACGGG
rnacentral:rRNA from 1 species